UACAGAGGUCCCGAGCGUUGUUCGGAUUCAUUGGGCGUAAAGGGUGUGUAGGAGGUUGGGUAAGUCGGAUGUGAAAUCUCACCGCUUAACGGUGAAACUGCAUUCGAUACUGCUUGGCUAGAGGAUCGGAGGGGGUAUCGGAAUUCAUGGUGUAGCAGUGAAAUGCGUAGAUAUCAUGAGGAACACCGGUGGCGAAAGCGGAUACCUGGAAGAUUCCUGACUCUGAAACACGAAAGCUAGGGGAGCAAACGGG
rnacentral:rRNA from 1 species